CAGCCGCCGCGGGAACACGUAGGGUGCGAGCGUUAAUCGGAAUUACUGGGCGUAAAGCGUGCGCAGGCGGUUGUGUAAGACAGGUGUGAAAUCCCCGGGCUUAACCUGGGAACUGCGCUUGUGACUGCACAGCUAGAGUAUGGCAGAGGGGGGUGGAAUUCCACGUGUAGCAGUGAAAUGCGUAGAGAUGUGGAGGAACACCGAUGGCGAAGGCAGCCCCCUGGGCCAAUACUGACGCUCAUGCCCGAAAGCGUGGGGAGCAAACAGGAUUAGAUACCAGCGUAGUCCUGUCUCUUAUACA
rnacentral:rRNA from 1 species